UAAAUAGCGGAAGCCAUGCCACUCCUUCCCACCUGAAACUGCUGCCAGGUAUGAACACUACAUCUUCAUGAUUAUUACCAUCCACAGAAGUCUGAAAAUGAGGUUUAAGGGACUUGUGGUUGCAAUUUGUAUGUGGGUUUGGUCAGGCUCCUUGGCUGCUGAUACAAAAUCCAGUGAUGGGUUACUGAGAAUUGGUCUAAAGAAGCAGCCUUUGGACCUCACCAGAUUGAAUGCUGCAAGAAUCACCAGGUCACAAGUUUCCCAACCCAGUGAUCUCAAAUCCAACAUUGUGGAUCUGAAAAAUUAUCGGGACACCCAGUUUUAUGGGGACAUUGCUAUUGGCACCCCACCACAGCACUUUGCUGUUGUCUUUGACACCGGCAGCUCCAAUCUGUGGGUCCCAUCUUCAAGAUGCAUCCUUUCUUAUGAAUGUUUGCAGAUGUCUUGCUAUUUUCAUUCUAAAUACAGGGCAAGCCUUUCGAGCACUUAUACCAAAAUUGGAAUACCCUCCAAAAUUCCUUAUGGGUCUGGUUCGAUUUCCGGCUACUUUAGUGAAGAUAAUUUGAAAAUUGGGGAUGUUAUCGUCAGAGAUCAAGAAUUUGUUGAGAUUACAAGGGAAGGAUUCCUAACAUUCUUAACGGCACGGUUUGAUGGAGUCCUUGGACUUGGAUUUCAGGAUAUUUCUGUUGGUGAAGCCACACCAGUGUGGUUUAACAUGGCGCAACAAGGUCAUAUGAGCCAGCAAAUUUUCUCCAUCUGGCUAAAUCAUGAUCCAACAUCGAAGGUGGGAGGUGAGAUUGUCUUUGGUGGAUUUGAUUGGAGGCACUUUACUGGUGAUCACACAUACGUCCCAAUUUCACAAAAGGGUUACUGGCAGAUUGAGGUUGGAGAUGUUAUUGUUGCAGACACUUCUACAGGACUGUGCAAGGGCGGUUGUAGUGCCAUUGUAGACUCAGGGACAUCCUUCCUUGCUGGUCCAACUACUAUUGUGGCUCAGAUCAACCAUGCCAUUGGAGCAGACGGAUUUGUGAGCUUGGAAUGUAAAAAUGUCAUUUCCACUUACGGAAAUUUGAUAUGGGAAUAUUUAAUAUCUGGGGCGCGGCCUGAUAUAGUGUGUGUGGACAUCGGUCUAUGUUCAUACGAUGGUUCUCGGAAUAUAAACAAUCAUAUUGAGUCAGUGACCGAGAACAAAAUCGGGAAGGAAUCAUCGGUCGAUGAAACUCCUUCAUGCCCCUUGUGUGAAAUGAUAGUCUACUGGGUUCAACUACAGCUUAAAAAACAAAUAGAAAAGGAAAAAAUAUUUAGCUAUGUGAAUGAGCUGUGCGAGAAGCUUCCAAAUCCGCUAAAAAGGUCAUUUGUCAACUGUGAUAACAUUGCAUUCAUGCCGGAUAUUACAUUUACGAUCAGAAACAAAUCCUUCACCCUCUCUCCAGAACAGUACAUACUUAAAGUAGAAGAAAAAUGCUCCACUGUCUGCCUUAGUGGAUUUACUGCUUUGGAUGUGCCUCCUCCACAAGGUCCUCUAUGGGUUCUCGGAGCUCUGUUCUUGGGAGCAUACCACACGGUGUUUGAUUUCGGUAAUCUCAGGACAUAGAGCAAACAGAUUAAAGAGGCAUGAUGUGGGUUCAGCCGCUUCCAGUGGUCAUGGCGGUCAAGCCGCGGAGCUCUCCUCACGGCGGCAGCCGCAGAGCCGCCUCUGUAGUUGCCCAGAAAUCCAAUAUUCCAUCUGUAGAUUCUGUAUCGACGCAGCAACGGCGGAUACUCCCAAACCCCACUUCCAAAUCAACGACUCCAUCCUCCCAAACGCAACCGCUGCUAUUUUCUUCUUCCUCUGCUAUUACUCCGUCCGUACGCACCGUCAAAGCUCUGCGGAUUCGACCCACCGCCGAGUUGGGCCUCCUCUCUCUCCUCUUUGUCCUCUCCGCGGCUUUUGCGGCAGUUUUCUCCGUCGCCAUACUUCGCAUUCCAACGAUAAACGCUAUGAGAAGAUUGGCAGUUGCAGUGGGAAAACUAUCCAAUGUGGUGUACCGGGAGGUUCCCGGAACGUUGUAUUCUCUCAAACUUUCCGGUGUUGAGAUCAACGACUUGGCCAAGCAGCUUGCUGCUCUCAGUUGAUGAUGAAGACCUGAGAGGAUUACCUGAAUGGUUUUGCCGACGUUGACCGGGGAGGCUUCGGCAAAGAUAUGGUCGCCGAGCUCGGCGCGCUUCAAAUGGUUGAUGCUGAGGUGAAUCCCGGCCACCCUUUGGAAACCAGAGGCCAUGUGAGCUCCGAUGCUAGCCAGGGCCUCAGAGAUGAGUGCUGAUACCCCUCCAUGUAGCACCUUGAAUGGCUGCUCUCAGCAGAAAAGAACGGUAAGAAGUUAAUCACGUGUUUUGCUUCUGUAAAUAACAACAUAUUUCAGAAAGUUGAGCAGGGUCAGAUUCGUGACAUGAAAAGAGAAACGACCUGGACGCAAUUUUCAGUGACAUGGAGGCGACCAGAGACCUUUUUGGGUGUUAUCUCUUCAAGCUCGAACCCUAAUGCACUUAGUGGAGCUGCCAGAACCGAUGUCUUCGAUGGCGGUGCUGAUGGCUGAGAUUGGGACUGAGAAGCCAUAUCUGCACCAAAUAUGAAUCUCAGAAUAUAUGAAACCAAGGCAAUUCAAUUCCCCUUAGACUCUUUGAGUGGAUGGUAAGAAUUUGCUGUUAUUUGGGGGUCAGAAUUAUCAUAAAUAUAUAAAUGUACACACACCAGCGACGUGUUUUGAUUGGUUUAUCAUUUUCUGGUGUUUGGUUGGUGGUGGUGGCAUACGGUUUGUCUAUUUCUGGAGGGUCCACCGGUGGCCAGAGGUUCACAGGGAAGGAAGGAAGGGUAGUUUGGCUAUUCACACAUGACAUUGGGGGAGGACGUAGGUUAGGUGGGGAAAGGAGGAGGAGGUGAUUAAGCGCCUACUGGUCUUCGUCAUCUGUCGCCCACCUUUGUUCUUUUAAUUGCUUAUGACGUUUUGUUAUGCCUUUCAAUGGUUGGUGCGAGUUCGUUUUCA